rnacentral:lncRNA from 1 species
UCAACAACUGUCAUUAACAGCUGUCCUCGCCGUUCACCUAUGCCGCCGAACAGGUGAUCUGGAUCUUGACCUAUGCUGCCGAACAGGUGAUCUGGAUCUUGACCUAUGCUUCCGAACAGGUGAUCUUGACUUAUGCUUCCGAACAGGUGAUUUUGAUCUUGAUCUAUGCUUCCGAACAGGUGAUCUGGAUCUUGACUUAUGCUUCCGAACAGGUGAUCUGGAUCUUGACCUAUGCUUCCGAACAGGUGAUCUGGAUCUUGACCUAUGCUUCCGAACUGGUGAUUUGGAUCUUGACCUUCUUACCCUGCAUAAAAAGGAAACCCUGUAAAUAAACAAGGCACAGCUGUAGUAUAAAUGGGAACCCAUACAAAUUCACCUGAGUAGCUUAUAUUGUUAUAUGAUGAUGGUAGUUUGUCUCAAAAAUAUAAACCUUAAACAUGAUUAACUUAAUGGCAACAAACCUGG